GCCAACGUGGUGUAGUGGUCUGGGUGUUGGACUAUGACUCUGGAGACCAGGGUUCGAUUCCCAGUUUGGCC